rnacentral:lncRNA from 1 species
GAAACUGAAUGGAUAGCAUUUCCUCCCUCUUCCUUUUCAGCCCCCAGAGCAACAUCAGACCUUCUCCACCCCUGCUGCCAGGCCACAGAGGGUUGUUUACCAUUUCCCACAUCAGUAGAUGUCCAAUAGUUUUCUGGAGUCGAAGACCAGCUCUGGGCCAUUUUGGACUUUGGAUUAAAUUUCAGAGCUGCCCUGCUACUGAGAUGGAGUCCUGGGCUGUCCUGCUACCUCUCAGGGAAGACACCAGGAGCACCCUCAGAUCUUCUUCUCUCGGAGUCUCAUGCCAGAGAUUGCUUUGUGUGGGGGAAUCUGUGUUUGCAGAGCAUCUCACAGCAGGUGAGAAUAAAUGUAACUUUGCUCUCCUUUGGUUGGCGAUCAUUUCCCUCCCUUGUGAUGCUCCUUGCCGUGACCCUCUGUUUGAGACUGAACUCUUGCCUGACCUUCCAAGUCUUCCCUACU